AGAGUUUGAUCCUGGCUCAGGAUGAACGCUAGCUACAGGCUUAACACAUGCAAGUCGAGGGGCAGCAUGGUCUUAGCUUGCUAAGGCCGAUGGCGACCGGCGCACGGGUGAGUAACACGUAUCCAACCUGCCGUCUACUCUUGGACAGCCUUCUGAAAGGAAGAUUAAUACAAGAUGGCAUCAUGAGUCCGCAUGUUCACAUGAUUAAAGGUAUUCCGGUAGACGAUGGGGAUGCGUUCCAUUAGAUAGUAGGCGGGGUAACGGCCCACCUAGUCUUCGAUGGAUAGGGGUUCUGAGAGGAAGGUCCCCCACAUUGGAACUGAGACACGGUCCAAACUCCUACGGGAGGCAGCAGUGAGGAAUAUUGGUCAAUGGGCGAGAGCCUGAACCAGCCAAGUAGCGUGAAGGAUGACUGCCCUAUGGGUUGUAAACUUCUUUUAUAAAGGAAUAAAGUCGGGUAUGGAUACCCGUUUGCAUGUACUUUAUGAAUAAGGAUCGGCUAACUCCGUGCCAGCAGCCGCGGUAAUACGGAGGAUCCGAGCGUUAUCCGGAUUUAUUGGGUUUAAAGGGAGCGUAGAUGGAUGUUUAAGUCAGUUGUGAAAGUUUGCGGCUCAACCGUAAAAUUGCAGUUGAUACUGGAUAUCUUGAGUGCAGUUGAGGCAGGCGGAAUUCGUGGUGUAGCGGUGAAAUGCUUAGAUAUCACGAAGAACUCCGAUUGCGAAGGCAGCCUGCUAAGCUGCAACUGACAUUGAGGCUCGAAAGUGUGGGUAUCAAACAGGAUUAGAUACCCUGGUAGUCCACACGGUAAACGAUGAAUACUCGCUGUUUGCGAUAUACAGCAAGCGGCCAAGCGAAAGCGUUAAGUAUUCCACCUGGGGAGUACGCCGGCAACGGUGAAACUCAAAGGAAUUGACGGGGGCCCG
rnacentral:rRNA from 1 species